AUUGAACGCUGGCGGCAUGCUUUACACAUGCAAGUCGAACGGUAACAGGCCUUCGGGUGCUGACGAGUGGCGCACGGGUGAGUAAUACAUCGGAACGUACCCAGAGGUGGGGGAUAACGCAGCGAAAGCUGUGCUAAUACCGCAUGUGAUCUGAGGAUGAAAGCGGGGGACCGAGCAGCAAUGUUUGGCCUCGCGCCUUUGGAGCGGCCGAUAUCGGAUUAGCUAGUUGGUGGGGUAAAGGCCUACCAAGGCGACGAUCCGUAGCUGGUCUGAGAGGACGACCAGCCACACUGGGACUGAGACACGGCCCAGACUCCUACGGGAGGCAGCAGUGGGGAAUUUUGGACAAUGGGCGCAAACCUGAUCCAGCAAUGCCGCGUGCGGGAAGAAGGCCUUCGGGUUGUAAACCGCUUUUGGCAGGAACGAAACGGUGUCCGCUAAUACCGGGCGCUAAUGACGGUACCUGCAGAAUAAGCACCGGCUAACUACGUG
rnacentral:rRNA from 1 species